rnacentral:tRNA from 2 species
CCCGGGGUGGUGUAGCGGAAAGCACGGCAGUCGCGUUCGGGGUAAACCCAUCCGCACCAUUACAGGCCUGGGUUCGAAUCCCAGCCCCGGGU